CGGUACUGAGGAGCUGAGCCGAUAGACUCCCUAUGGAGAAAGAGACGCCGAGUCAUUCAGCAUUUAUCUGAAUUUCAGCCUUUAUUCUGGACCCUGGGAAUAUAGAUGUGAACAAAACAAACAAAAAUCCUGCCUUCAUGGACCUUACAUCCUUGUGAGGGGAGACAGAUGAUGAACAAGUUGCUUGUGAGCCCUAUGGAGAUAGGGUCAGGGGAGACGGAAAGAGACUAUAAGAGGAGAAACCCAACUAAAACAAUAACAGAGAAAUAGAAAAGAUGCAAGCACAAAACAGAAGAGAGAAUAAAUUGGAGGUCAUCAGCAGACGAGUGAUUUCAACAAGUUUCUGGAAAGCACAAAGUACAUGAAAAGGUGUCAAAAGAUGAAAUGGAAGAAGCUAUCAUCUUUAGCAUUUCUAGAGGCGGCUUCAAAGACCAGAAGGAAGAGCUAGACAGCAAAACUAGAGAGGCCAACCUUCGAGACAUCAGUGAAACCUGGAUAACAGGAUGUUGAAUAGGCUUUUCCUGCUACCCCACAAUUUUACCUACAGUCCCAAAGCAGAGGACUCGGAGAUUACCCACAGAGCUUACUAAAAAGUAGACAAACUGUCCUUCAAUGCUUAUCUCCAGCCAGCCAACAGAAGCCAAAAACUGAAGUUUAUUAUGGAGAGAUCUAUAAAGGGAGACAGGAAGUUUGGAGUUCUGGCAGCCAUCCUGGACCAUAACAUGAAGUGCUUAAAGACGGCAGC
rnacentral:lncRNA from 1 species